UUUUCUACCAGCUAAAAGGAGGUGAAAGUUUUGGUCCCCUCACACCGCGGAUCGCCUUUACUUUGUCUAAUUGGGGUGUUUUGAGCCUCAUCGCUACGCCCGAAGUGCAGAAGAGCCUGCGGGAAACGAGCUCGCAACAACCGAGAACCAGGGAUCAACAACAACUCGCGUCGCUUUCCCUAUGUGCAUAUCACUCGACUCUCAUUUAAGCCAGAUGUGUUAACCUGAUCCCUGCGAAACACCAGCUCUCCGUGGAUUUUGACCGCGAGUGACCGGAUGUUGUUUCCGGCCUGAGGUUGCCUGAAAUGCCGUGAGGCUCGUUUGAAAGAUUGCGCCUGAGACCAACUCCGCCUCCAAGGCGUGCCUACCUUUAGCUGCCAGCAGUGAGAUAUCAGAGCCGGGCUCCACAUAUCCAAUCAGGAGCACGAGCAAGACAGCUUUUGCAGACUCUCCAGAAAUAUACAAGUCCUUACCAACUGCUCUGCAACCCAGUGUUUCUGGUCCCCUCACCAACAUCGCUUUUUGAGAUAUUUUUUUUACGAACCACCAAAAAAGCAAUUUUACCCCCCAGUACAGAAGACUGGAUCUGAGGGCAGCAGCGGGGACAAAUGAUUGUAAUGAAGCGACAGACAUUUCAUGGCUGGUCUUAGAUAAUUGUGAGUCAUUGUGUCUUAUGGUGAAAAGUACAUAGUUUUGCAAGAGGCAUACAAGCACUGUGGAAAAAGUAAUCAUAAAACUGUUUUUGUGAACACUCUGCUCCCUACGUUAUGCUUUAAAAAAUGUGAUACAUGUAAUGUGAUCAUCAAAGAACAUGACUUUUUUAAAACUUUUAUUCUUAUGCUUUUAAACUAUGUCACAUUAUCAUAAAAUACUUAUUUGUAUGUUAUAAUGUUUUUCUUACACCAUGUGUAAUUUUUAUAGACACCUUGUUCAUUGUAUCAAUGUGUAAUUAUGUAUCUUUGAUAAAUAAAUAAAAUAUUUAAUCUUG